AAAGACUUGAUCAGCACCUCGUAUUGUGUAAGGAAUACCAAGCAUAUCAGUCAAGACAAAGACAUUACUACCCACAUCAUCAUCCCCACAGGCUUUCACUCUAUUGCCUUCUUUUUCAACUAACACGCAGAAGAUAUUAAUAAGGGGAAGAUCUUUUUGAUUUGUGCAUAUCAUGAAGAUGGUAGUGGGGAUCUCCAGAGACAUAAAACCAGCAAAAUAUACAGAGAGAUGCAUAAUGAAAAAUUAUUUUAAGGAACUGGCUCAUGCAGUUGUGGAAGUUGGCAAACCUGAAAAUUGUAGAGGUGGUAGACAGACUGGACAUUCAGAAACAUCUAGACUGGUGCUUAACUAAAUAAUGUGGAUUGAAGUUUAUACACACGGACAUAUAAUAUUAACCAC